UUCCCUACGGGCGAUUCCAGACAGGUGGUGCAUGGUUGUCGUCAGCUCGUGUCGUGAGAUGUUGGGUUAAGUCCCGCAACGAGCGCAACCCUUAUCCUUAGUAGCCAGCAGUUCGGCUGGGCACUCUGGGGAGACUGCCAGGGAUAACCUGGAGGAAGGUGGGGAUGACGUCAAAUCAUCAUGCCCCUUAUGAUUUGGGCUACACACGUGCUACAAGGGCGUAAACAAAGGGAAGCGAAGGAGUGAUCCGGAGCAAAUCUCAAAAAUAACGUCUCAGUUCGGAUUGUAGUCUGCAACUCGACUACAUGAAGCUGGAAUCGCUAGUAAUCGCGGAUCAGAAUGCCGCGGUGAAUACGUUCCCGGGUCUU
rnacentral:rRNA from 1 species